rnacentral:misc_RNA from 1 species
GUCCAAAAGACGACCAUGAUGCAAAGAACAUUAACCAUCUUCGCUCUCCUGCUGUUUGUAACAGAUAUUCCCAUCACACUCGUUUUGCAAUUUGUUUCAAUUGUUCACCAAAUGUAUAAAUACCGACGCUAAAGCCUUCCCGGAUCAGUUUUUGAUCUGGCAAUUGACCAAAAGACGACCAUGAUGCAAAGAACAUUAACCAUCUUCGCUCUCCUGCUGUUUGUAACAGCAGUACAGUCUUACUAUCCAUGGCAUUACGGCC